GAUGAAGAACGUAGCAAAAUGCGAUAAGUAAUGUGAAUUGCAGAAUUCAGUGAAUCAUCGAAUCUUUGAACGCACAUUGCGCCCGCUGGUAUUCCGGCGGGCAUGCCUGUUCGAGCGUCAUUUCAACCCUCAAGCCCCCGGGUUUGGUGUUGGGGAUCGGCUCUGCCCUUCUGGGCGGUGCCGCCCCCGAAAUACAUUGGCGGUCUCGCUGCAGCCUCCAUUGCGUAGUAGCUAACACCUCGCAACUGGAACGCGGCGCGGCCAUGCCGUAAAACCCCAACUUCUGAGUGUUGACCUCGGAUCAGGUAGGAAUACCCGCUGAACUUAAGCAUAUCAAUAAGCGGAGGA
rnacentral:misc_RNA from 1 species